AACCAUAGAAACCUGCGGAGUACCUGCGGAAGGAUCAUUAAAGAUUGACCGAAAGGUCUUAUCUCUAUAUCCCUCACCUCUGUGAACUGUGGACCUCCGGGUCUAUUUAACAAACAUCAGUGUAAUGAACGUAUAUAUCAUUAAACAAAACAAAACUUUCAACAACGGAUCU
rnacentral:misc_RNA from 1 species